GCCCAGAUGGCGGAAUUGGUAGACGCGCUACGUUCAGGUCGUAGUGUCCUUAUGGACGUGGAGGUUCGAGUCCUCUUCUGGGCACCA
rnacentral:tRNA from 2 species